GACGAACGCUGGCGGCGUGCCUAAUACAUGCAAGUCGAGCGAGACUCUUCGGAGUCUAGCGGCGGACGGGUGAGUAACACGUGGGCAACCUGCCUGUAAGACUGGGAUAACACCGGGAAACCGGUGCUAAUACCGGAUAAUCCUUUUCCUCUCAUGAGGAAAAGCUGAAAGUCGGUUUCGGCUGACACUUACAGAUGGGCCCGCGGCGCAUUAGCUAGUUGGUGAGGUAACGGCUCACCAAGGCGACGAUGCGUAGCCGACCUGAGAGGGUGAUCGGCCACACUGGGACUGAGACACGGCCCAGACUCCUACGGGAGGCAGCAGUAGGGAAUCUUCCACAAUGGACGAAAGUCUGAUGGAGCAACGCCGCGUGAGCGAUGAAGGCCUUCGGGUCGUAAAGCUCUGUUGUUAGGGAAGAACAAGUACCGGAGUAACUGCCGGUACCUUGACGGUACCUAACCAGAAAGCCACGGCUAACUACGUGCCAGCAGCCGCCGUAACAC
rnacentral:rRNA from 1 species